UAUGGAGCCUGGUUUGAUUUUAAUGAAUUUCUAGGUUCUUUAUUGUGUAACCAUCAGAAUUAUUUUUUGAAAGUGUAGAAAAGAGAGAUACCAGAAAUGAAGCCUAAUGCUAUGGAGUAAGCUCCACUGAACCCAUUAGGGCUUAUUUUAAAAUAAGUAUACAUCAAAUCGGAGGAAAGUCAUGUACUUAAAAGGGAAGAUCAUUAUAUAACCUUAUUGUAGUAGCUACAGAGAAAAGAAACUGGCCACCUUCUCUAAGUUUUGUUUCAAUACCUUCUUGUUAUAUUUCUUCUAGAGUUGUGAGUUGAAGCUGUUGGCAAGCCAGGAUAAGAUCUGACAGAUUAGCCAGCAGGGACCUCUCCAUGAAUGGCUGUUUGCCCGUGUGUUUCCCAACAAUGAUUGCUCAUGCAAAAUUCUUAAAGGAAGAUACUGGGGGAUUUGAAAUACAUGCCAAGCAGCAUCACCAGCUGAGCUCAAAAUUUCCAUCUGCAAGCAGAGACAAGCAUGUUGUUUGGAUGUAAAUUCCACUGAAAUGAAUGGGGCUUGCUUACAACUGAAUAUGUUUAAGAUCUGGUUACAGGAGCAGAUGUGCUGUGUUUAUUUCUCCUCCCCCAGAAAACCAGCUGCUUCUCACGGCAAGUUAAAUAUGCAUGAUAGUGAAUUAGUUAACGGUAGAGUCUCAGUGGGUCUUAUUAUCGUAUCAUACCUGAAGCACAUCUCGACAAACUCCCAAAGAUUCUGUGAGGAUUCACCAAAUGUUAACAGAUCCAUGUUAAGCUGUAAUGUUUUUAGUUAACUCCACAUUAUCCACAACGUAAAAGAUUGUCAGUCAGAAAAUACAGGGUUCGUGGUAAUGCUUUAUACUGCACAGUUGCCUUCCUGAAAAUGUCUGCCUGCCUCAUUUCCCUCCCCAAGUUCUGAGAAUAGCCACCGUUGUGUAUUUUUUCAUGCACCCAGCAUGACACACGUGAGAUACAGACUUGCACAGCUAGACAAAGAAAAUAGGUUGCAUUUCAGUCCCGACUUUUGUGUGAAAGUGCCCCGGGGGACACUGUCAUGCGGAAGUAUGAAUAUAUGAUAAGACCAAGACAUAAAGUUGCUCACAAAAAAGAAAAAGAAAAAUGCUUUUCAGUUCAGUGAUAAGAAAUUGUGACAGUAUCGAAAAUAGAAAGUAUGCCCAUCCCUAAGGGCUUUCGUAAGAUAACACAACAAACACAUUCUGAUAAAAAACCAUCAGUGCUGAGUAAUGCUUGACGUUGCCAUUCCAAUUCACUCAUAAGCUGGUCUGGAAACAAAAUAGCAUGGCUGGGCUCCAUUCUCCAAUUCGUAGGUAUAAACUUGGGCUAACCUGAAAUCAUGAGUAUCUGCAGGGGGAAUGGGCAAGAGAGGGCAACUGCCCUGCCUCACUGGAAUCAUAUAUAAACACAGAGAUACACUAUAGUUGCCAGAUUUUUUUCAAUGAA